rnacentral:snRNA from 1 species
AGGUGUGAUGGCAAUCUGCCUGGGACAUGGUACCCAACUGACCCCCAUGGAUUGCCAGCGUUUAUUUGGCUGAUCUGCCUGGCUAGACCACUGUCCCUCUCCUCCUUCAUCAAUCCAUAUUUGUCCUGGAAGUUGCACACGCAGAGAUCACCUUUCCCCUAGGAUGGGUCUUCUCUCAGGAUAGUAGGUGUGGCUGGGUUCUCCUGCUAGGACCUUGCAACCAACUCACAAGGCCCAUUAACAGGAGAAGGCAAGGUGGUCAAACUUCCAAGACCUUUAGAUAGGUCCAGAUAGACUCCAGAUGGAUGUACAUAU